rnacentral:rRNA from 1 species
GAGUUUGAUCCUGGCUCAGGAUGAACGCUAGCGGCAGGCUUAACACAUGCAAGUCGAGGGGCAGCGUGGGGCAGCAAUGCUCUGACGGCGACCGGCGGAAGGGUGCGUAACACGUGAGCGACUUGCCCGUCACAGGGGGAUAACCGGCGGAAACGGCGACUAAUACCCCAUAUGAUGUGAUGCUGCAUGGCAUCGCAUUGAAAGAUUCAUCGGUGGCGGAUAGGCUCGCGGGACAUUAGCUAGACGGCGGGGCAACGGCCCACCGUGGCGACGAUGUCUAGGGGUUCUGAGAGGAAGACCCCCCACACUGGGACUGAGACACGGCCCAGACUCCUACGGGAGGCAGCAGUGAGGAAUAUUGGUCAAUGGGCGGAAGCCUGAACCAGCCAUGCCGCGUGAAGGACUAAGGCCCUACGGGUCGUAAACUUCUUUAGACGCAGAGCAAUAAGGUCCACGCGUGGACCGAUGAGAGUAUGCGUAGAAUAAGCAUCGGCUAACUCCGUGCCAGCAGCCGCGGUAAUACGGGGGAUGCGAGCGUUAUCCGGAUUCAUUGAGUUUAAAGGGUGCGUAGGCGGCCGAGUAAGUCAGCGGUGAAAGACCGGGGCUCAACCCUGGAAGUGCCGUUGAUACUGUUUGGCUGGAAUGAUCCCGCCGCGGGAGGAAUGAGUGGUGUAGCGGUGAAAUGCGUAGA